UAUCCUUGCAUGAGGUUUCAGGAGCUCUGCUGAACCUGUGCUUCCACAGCUCUUUUUCAGGUUACGUGGUUUAGACAAAUCUCGACAGCCUCUGCCAGAGAACUCUUGCAGCCUUCUGGGCAACCCAGUUCAGUGCUUCAGUUCAUCAUGAAGCUUAAAGAUGGCUUGUCUUUAACCGCCUCUUGUUUAUAGCAGGAAACCCAAAGAGCACUCCCAGGAUCCUACAAGCAAUUGUUCUUGCCUAUUUGUAACUACUAUGAUGCACUAAGAUGGGACUUUCCACCCAUCUGGUCUAAUUUCCCGAAGAUUGCAUGCCUGCUGGGAUCAGUUGCCCCACCAAGUUGCCCCUUGCUGAAAGGUCCUGACAGAGAGAUGCACAAAAGAUAUUUAUGUGCAAAAUGACCUCUUUUUUUUUUUUUUACUUUUUGCAACUGUUUCCUUUUUCUACGCCAUAAGUGAUCAUAAUUUAAAAAUGUAUUUUGCUAGUUACUGAGUGCAAUGUUCAAUAUGAACCUUCUGUGAAUAAAUUAGUUCAGAUCGUUUCUCUGAACAAGUUCUGAGAUGAGUCAGUUCUCAGGAUUUGCCCACAGUGAGUUGUUGUUUUCUGCAUUUCUAGUUAUUAAUGGAAUAAAAUUACUUGGCCUUUUGUAAUCUAAUAAAAUUUUCCUCUUCUGAACAAGGUGUAAAGGUUGAUGAUAUGUUGUUACAGCUCUACAGUAUUUUUCCCUCCUAUGAAAAACUGCUCCUCUGGCAAUAUUUUUGCUUUGACAAUAAAUUAUAAUAAAGUUUUGAGAAGCAAGCAUCCACUCUCUGU